AGAGCGAACGCUGGCGGCGUGCUUAACACAUGCAAGUCGAACGCGCAGCAUUCUGUAGCAAUACAGGGUGUGGGCGCGUGGCGAACGGGUGCGUAACACGUGGAUAACCUUCCUUGAGGUGGGGAAUAACCCAGUGAAAAUUGGGCUAAUACCGCAUAACAUCGCGAUGGCACAUGCUGAUGCGAUCAAAGGCGCAAGUCGCCACAAGAGGGAUCCGCGGCCGAUUAGCUUGUUGGUGGGGUAACGGCCUACCAAGGCGACGACGGGUA
rnacentral:rRNA from 1 species